rnacentral:misc_RNA from 1 species
GGAGCGGAUGCGGCCUUCGGCGGCGGCGGCGGCGGCAACGAUACACCACCGUCAGAGGCAGGCACCGUCUCAAA